CCUACGGGUGGCAGCAGUGAGGAAUAUUGGUCAAUGGGCGCGAGCCUGAACCAGCCAAGUCGCGUGAGGGAAGACGGUCCUAUGGAUUGUCAACCUCUUUUGUCGGGGAGCAAAAGACACCACGCGUGGCGUUCCGAGAGUACCCGAAGAAAAAGCAUCGGCAAACUCCGUGCCAGCAGCCGCGGUAAUACGGAGGAUGCGAGCGUUAUCCGGAUUUAUUGGGGUUAAAUGGUGCGCAGGCGGAAGAAAAAGUCAGCGGGAAAAUUGAGAGGCUCAACCUCGUCGAGCCGUUGAAACUGGUUUUCUUGAGUGAGCGAGAAGUAUGCGGAAUGCGUGGUGUAGCGGUGAAAUGCAUAGAUAUCACGCAGAACUCCGAUUGCGAAGGCAGCAUACCGGCGCUCAACUGACGCUCAUGCACGAAAGUGUGGGUAUCGAACAGGAUUAGAUACCCCUGUAGGC
rnacentral:rRNA from 1 species